UUGAUCCUGGCUCAGAUUGAACGCUGGCGGCAGGCUUAACACAUGCAAGUCGAGCGGAGAGAGGUAGCUUGCUACUGAUCUUAGCGGCGGACGGGUGAGUAAUACUUAGGAAUCUGGCUAUUAGUGGGGGACAACAUUUCGAAAGGGAUGCUAAUACCGCAUACGUCCUACGGGAGAAAGCAGGGGAUCUUCGGACCUUGCGCUAAUAGAUGAGCCUAAGUCGGAUUAGCUAGUUGGUGGGGUAAAGGCCUACCAAGGCGACGAUCUGUAGCGGGUCUGAGAGGAUGAUCCGCCACACUGGGACUGAGACACGGCCCAGACUCCUACGGGAGGCAGCAGUGGGGAAUAUUGGACAAUGGGGGGAACCCUGAUCCAGCCAUGCCGCGUGUGUGAAGAAGGCCUUAUGGUUGUAAAGCACCUUAAGCGAGGAGGAGGGUACUGGUAUUAAUACUACCAGGUACUGGACGUUACUCGCAGAAUAAGCACCGGCUAACUCUGUGCCAGCAGCCGCGGUAAUACAGAGGGUGCGAGCGUUAAUCGGAUUUACUGGGCGUAAAGCGUGCGUAGGCGGC
rnacentral:rRNA from 1 species